AUGCGGAAGAUCAGCAUGACCACCAGCCACAGGCGGCCCACGAGCGGCGACUGCAGCUGCACGGCGUCCAGCAGCGAGCCGAGGAACGCCCACUCCCCCAUGGCGCUGGAGAUGGACGCGGGGCAGGCAGUCAGAGGCCGAGGGACCAGGGUCCCAGCCCUCCGCGCCCAUCGGGGUGGGGUCAGCUGGACCGCCUCUAACUUCGAGGCAGCGGAGGGAGAAAGCGAUGAAGUGGUAGAAGCGGCCGCAAGAACAUCUCUCCAAAAAGUCCCCAGAGGCUGCCACGUGACCCACCUGCUCACAUAUCAUUGGUCUUCUCUCUGCAAGGAAGCCUGGGAGAUGGCGUCUUUAUUCUCAGUGGCCUUGCGUAGAAGAAGCGAGAAUGUAGCCCUGACUGUCAGAAGACCACUUCUAGUAUUCACCUUCCGCACUGAGAUGGGGAGUCAGGCAGAGUCGGUUUCCCCCAGGUCUGCCCCCACUAGCUGCUCCCUGAGGAAGGAGGAGGCCGCCUCAGUCUACCUUGUCCUCAGGUCCUGCCAAACCAGUGCGCCUUCAUUCACAUGCCUCUGCCAAGCCUUUGCUCUCGUCCUUGGGCAGAAGAGUCACUAUUGCCAACUGGAGGCCCCACCUGGUCUCUUUCCCCAGGUCACACUUUUCUAGGUUGUACGUGUGGCAGCUUUGUUCAGUAAGGACGAUAACUGGGCCUGAGGGUGGUUGGGCCCUGCAGGCCGCCUCAUCUGAGAGACAAAGAGACUUGGGAGUUCCUCUUCCUUUCCUCGAAAGCCUAGAGUGAAAGACGGAGGAGAGAAACUGCUUUGCGACUGAGGUGGGGAAGGGGACAGGUUUGUUAUCAAGAGGCGUCUUUCCAAGUCCCAUUUCCCUCCCCAGAGCUCUGAAUAGCUGAUAUUUAUAACUGCCGAGAUCCGUAAGCUGCUACAAUCGCUGCUGCUGGACUGGUGACCCGCUCUCCAUCACCCUGGGGCAGAAGUGGGAUCAGGUUGACUCCAGAUCAGUUGGUGGGUAGACCAAAGUAACUCCCUCCCUGAAAGCGAUACUCCUGGGUGGAAAGGAGUGCUGCCCACCAGGUCCUGGAAAAUUACAGAAAGACUAGAAGACAAAGUCACUUAUGGAUUCGGCUUCCUUUCCUCCAGUUAAAAUAUCUUUUGCAUUCACCGGGAUGUAUUGGGGCCACCUUGAGGCCACUGAAGAUACUGCCUUACUCAAAAGAAACAAAUCUGACUCCAGAAAUUACUGAGGAAAAAUGUAAGGGGGGGUGGUGUAAAAUGAUACAGCUGCUUUGAAAAGUUCCGCAGGUUCUUAGAAAGGCAAAGAUUUAUUAAAUAACCAACAAUUCCACUUCUAGGUAUCUACCCAAGAGAUAUGAAAAAAUAUGCCUAUAAACAAGGUUUGUAUUCUCACGUUCAUGACAGUUUUACUUAUAAUGGGCCCAAACUGGAAACAACUCAACUGUCCGUCAACAGGUGAAUGGAUAAACAAAUCCAUACAAUGGAAUGCGUGCGCGCGUGUGCGUGUGUGCGCGUGUGUGCGUGUGUGUUAGUCGCUCAGUUGUUUCUGACUUUUUGUGACCCCAUGGACUAUAGCCCACCAGGCUCCUCUGUCCAUGGAAUUCUCCAGGCAAGAAUACUGGAGUGGGUUGCCAUUCCCUUCUCCAGGGGAUUGUCAGGAUCCAGGGAUAGAACCUGGGUCACCUUCAUUGCAGUCAGAUUCCUUACUGUUUGAGUCACCAGAGAAGUCCUACAACGGAAUAAUGUUCAGCAAUUAAAAAAAAGAAUGACUACUUGAUACCUAAAUAUGGUUAAAUUUCAAAAACAUGAUGUCAAAUGAAAGGUUGGACACAAAAGCAUAAAUACAUAUACAUAUAUAUGUAUAUGAAGUUAAAAGCAUAUAUAUAUAAAGUUCUAGAAUAGGUAGAAUUAACCUAUAAUGGUAGAAAUCAGAUCAAUGUUGGGGGUCAGGAUUGAAGAGACACUUAAGAAUUUUGGGGAGUGAUGGAAAAGUUUUAUAUCUUGUUAGUGAUGGUGGGUAUGCAUUUGUCAAAAGUCAUCAAUAUGUAUACUUAUAGUGAGUGCAUUUUAUGUAUGUAAAUUAUACCUCAAUAAAGUUGAUUUAAAAAGAAAAAAGUAAUGUUGGUUUGUGUUGAAAUUCUUUUGCAGGAGUGAUGAGGGUGAUUAAGACUUUUUAAAAGUCAUUUUUACACCUCUCUCUCCAACUCUUUUG
rnacentral:lncRNA from 1 species